UACGGAGGGGGCUAGCGUUGUUCGGAAUUACUGGGCGUAAAGCGCGCGUAGGCGGACCUGCAAGUCGGGGGUGAAAGCCCGAGGCUCAACCUCGGAACUGCCUUCGAUACUGCGGGUCUCGAGUCCGGGAGAGGUGUGUGGAAUUCCUAGUGUAGAGGUGAAAUUCGUAGAUAUUAGGAAGAACACCCGUGGCGAAGGCGGCUCUCUGGUACGUGACUGACGCUGAGACGCGAAAGCGUGGGGAGCGAACAGG
rnacentral:rRNA from 1 species